GAGGGUAUAGCUCAGUGGUAGAGCAUAUGCUUAGUAUGCAUGAGGUCCUGAGUUCAAUCCGCAGUACCUCCA
rnacentral:tRNA from 1 species